UCAGAGAGUAAAGAAUCUGCCUGCAACGCAGGAGACCCGGGUUCAAACCCCGG
rnacentral:tRNA from 1 species